UAGGGAAUCUUCCACAAUGGGCGAAAGCCUGAUGGAGCAACGCCGCGUGUGUGAUGAAGGGUUUCGGCUCGUAAAACACUGUUGUAAGAGAAGAAUGACGUUGAGAGUAACUGUUCAAGGUGUGACGGUAUCUUACCAGAAAGGAACGGCUAAAUACGUGUCAG
rnacentral:rRNA from 1 species